UAUACAUGCAGUCGAGCGGACAGAAGGGAGCUUGCUCCCGGAUGUUAGCGGCGGACGGGUGAGUAACACGUGGGUAACCUGCCUGUAAGACUGGGAUAACUCCGGGAAACCGGAGCUAAUACCGGAUAGUUCCUUGAACCGCAUGGUUCAAGGAUGAAAGACGGUUUCGGCUGUCACUUACAGAUGGACCCGCGGCGCAUUAGCUAGUUGGUGAGGUAACGGCUCACCAAGGCGACGAUGCGUAGCCGACCUGAGAGGGUGAUCGGCCACACUGGGACUGAGACACGGCCCAGACUCCUACGGGAGGCAGCAGUAGGGAAUCUUCCGCAAUGGACGAAAGUCUGACGGAGCAACGCCGCGUGAGUGAUGAAGGUUUUCGGAUCGUAAAGCUCUGUUGUUAGGGAAGAACAAGUGCAAGAGUAACUGCUUGCACCUUGACGGUACCUAACCAGAAAGCCACGGCUAACUACGUGCCAGCAGCCGCGGUAAUACGUAGGUGGCAAGCGUUGUCCGGAAUUAUUGGGCGUAAAGGGCUCGCAGGCGGUUUCUUAAGUCUGAUGUGAAAGCCCCCGGCUCAACCGGGGAGGGUCAUUGGAAACUGGGAAACUUGAGUGCAGAAGAGGAGAGUGGAAUUCCACGUGUAGCGGUGAAAUGCGUAGAGAUGUGGAGGAACACCAGUGGCGAAGGCGACUCUCUGGUCUGUAACUGACGCUGAGGAGCGAAAGCGUGGGGAGCGAACAGGAUUAGAUACCCUGGUAGUCCACGCCGUAAACGAUGAGUGCUAAGUGUUAGGGGGUUUCCGCCCCUUAGUGCUGCAGCUAACGCAUUAAGCACUCCGCCUGGGGAGUACGGUCGCAAGACUGAAACUCAAAGGAAUUGACGGGGGCCCGCACAAGCGGUGGAGCAUGUGGUUUAAUUCGAAGCAACGCGAAGAACCUUACCAGGUCUUGACAUCCUCUGACAACCCUAGAGAUAGGGCUUUCCCUUCGGGGACAGAGUGACAGGUGGUGCAUGGUUGUCGUCAGCUCGUGUCGUGAGAUGUUGGGUUAAGUCCCGCAACGAGCGCAACCCUUGAUCUUAGUUGCCAGCAUUCAGUUGGGCACUCUAAGGUGACUGCCGGUGACAAACCGGAGGAAGGUGGGGAUGACGUCAAAUCAUCAUGCCCCUUAUGACCUGGGCUACACACGUGCUACAAUGGACAGAACAAAGGGCUGCGAGACCGCAAGGUUUAGCCAAUCCCACAAAUCUGUUCUCAGUUCGGAUCGCAGUCUGCAACUCGACUGCGUGAAGCUGGAAUCGCUAGUAAUCGCGGAUCAGCAUG
rnacentral:rRNA from 2 species